CAGUCGCCGCGGUAAUACGGAGGGGGCUAGCGUUGUUCGGAAUUACUGGGCGUAAAGCGCACGUAGGCGGCUUGGUAAGUUAGGGGUGAAAGCCCGGAGCUCAACUCCGGAAUUGCCUUUAAGACUGCCGAGCUAGCAGGUGAGAGAGGUAAGUGGAAUUCCGAGUGUAGAGGUGAAAUUCGUAGAUAUUCGGAAGAACACCAGUGGCGAAGGCGGCUUACUGGCUCAUACUGGACGCUGAGGUGCGAAAGCGUGGGGAGCAAACAGGAUUAGAUACCCCCGUAGUCCCUGUCUCUUAUAC
rnacentral:rRNA from 1 species